UUUAUUGGAGAGUUUGAUCCUGGCUCAGGACGAACGCUGGCGGCGUGCCUAAUACAUGCAAGUCGAGCGAAUCUG
rnacentral:rRNA from 1 species